rnacentral:rRNA from 1 species
AUGGUCAUGUCAUGUCACCGUAACUGCACCAUCAACAGCAGUAAAAGUGGUUUACCUCACAUGCAGCACCUUGCACAGGCGAUCCCAGAAGCUCAUUAUGUCACGGCCAGUAAGGUGCCUCGACCCGCCCUCGCGGCCAUUUACCCUGAGAAGAUGCCCAUAGCCGUUUGCAUGCACAACGGCGUGCAGCAGGUGAGAGGAAUCGUCAAGAUGCAGGUACCCGCACUCUUCCAGCUCCUCGCCUUCCAUGUCAAAGUUGCACAGGAGGCACCUGGAGAAGAAAUUGAAUCCAAGCGGCCAUGGGAGUCCCGCAGCGCAGGCAGCAUGUGCGACGACGGCCAGCCAUCUGGAUGCUGUCGUUCUCGAUGA